AUACGGAGGAUCCGAGCGUUAUCCGGAUUUAUUGGGUUUAAAGGGUGCGUAGGUGGUUUGAUAAGUCAGCGGUGAAAGUUUGCAGCUUAACCGUAAAAAUGCCGUUGAAACUGUCGGACUUGAGUGUACAUGAGGUAGGCGGAAUGCGUGGUGUAGCGGUGAAAUGCAUAGAUAUCACGGAGAACUCCGAUUGCGAAGGCAGCUUACUAAGCUACAACGGACACUGAAGCACGAAAGCGUGGGGAUCAAACAGGAUUAGAUACCCAGGUAGUCCACGCAGUAAACGAUGAUUACUAGCUGUUUGCGAUACACAGUAAGCGGCACAGCGAAAGCGUUAAGUAAUCCACCUGGGGAGUACGCCGGCAACGGUGAAACUCAAAUGAAUUGACGGGG
rnacentral:rRNA from 1 species